rnacentral:lncRNA from 13 species
CUAAGCUUUAGAUAACUUGACAGACUUUUAUGUCACUGCUAAAAUUGUGUGGUAAAUGAGAAAUUAGCUUAAAUCUAUUUACUUGGCAACAGAUCGUAACAACUUAGAAAUGUCUACUCAUGUUAUUUAAAUUUGAAUAUAUCUUGAGCUAGAUUUCUGUGUGUUUUUUGAGAUGGAGUUUUACUUUUGUUGCCCAGGCUGGAGUGCAAUGGUGCAAUCUCAGCUCACUGCAAUCUCUGACUCCAGGGUUCAAGUGAGUCUCCUGCCUCAGCCUCCCAAGUAGCUGGUAUUAUAGGCACCUGCCACUAUGCCCAGCUAAUUUUUGUAUUUUUAGUAGAGAUGGGGUUUCACUAUGUUGGCCAGGCUGGUCUCUAACUCUUGAUCUCAGGUGAUCCACCCGCCUUCGCCUCCCAAAAUGCUUGGAUUACAGGCAUGAGCCACUGUGCCCAGCCGAGCCAGACUUCUUAAUUUUAUGGUCUUCAUGUAGAAAAAUACAUCUUUCCAAAACAACCAGAGACUGAUUUUCCUAUUGUUAGUGUUCUUAAGACUUUAUUCAGUCUUCCUUCGCUAAGUGCUUAUUUUUCUUUUUGUUAAAGUAUUACACAGAAAGAAUUACCCAGCUGGUCCAGAGUAAAUAUUUACACAUACUUAGGUGGAAGAGGUUUUGCCAACACAGUAAGAUCAUGGAGCAACUUAUCCUCUUUACAAGAAACAAGUUGGCUACAUUAUGCAGGAGAACAAUGAUGUCCUUCAGAGAGCUGAAAGAUUGUUGCUCGAGAAAACUUCCUCCUAACUUAGUGACACAGGAAGAUCUUACUAUUUACACAAAGUGGUUAGUGCGCCACCUGCACUCUCUCAGGAUUGUGCACCACUGCCUGCAGGAUUCCCCAAAAUUUCAAAACAUCUUCAUGGAGCAACAGAGAAUGCAAAUAUUUCUAGACUAUGAAGCUGCAAUGGCUAAAGCAGAUAAUUUGGGUUUGGCAGGACUCAGUAUGACCCUGAAAAAGAGAGUCAACUGGAUUUCCUUCAUAAAGGUGAAGAGACUCGUGGUGAUAGUCAUCUGUCAGUGA